rnacentral:rRNA from 1 species
CGGGACGGGUGAGUAAUGUCGUAGGGAACUGCCGAUGGAGGGGGAUAACUACUGGAAACGGUAGCUAAUACCGCAUAACGUCGCAAGACCAAAGAGGGGGACCUUCGGGCCUCUUGCCAUCGGAUGUGCCCAGAUGGGAUUAGCUAGUAGGUGGGGUAACGGCUCACCUAGGCGACGAUCCCUAGCUGGUCUGAGAGGAUGACCAGCCACACUGGAACUGAGACACGGUCCAG